UGGAUUCAGCGGCGGACGGGUGAGUAAUGCCUAGGAAUCUGCCUGGUAGUGGGGGACAACGUUUCGAAAGGAACGCUAAUACCGCAUACGUCCUACGGGAGAAAGCAGGGGACCUUCGGGCCUUGCGCUAUCAGAUGAGCCUAGGUCGGAUUAGCUAGUUGGUGAGGUAAUGGCUCACCAAGGCGACGAUCCGUAACUGGUCUGAGAGGAUGAUCAGUCACACUGGAACUGAGACACGGUCCAGACUCCUACGGGAGGCAGCAGUGGGGAAUAUUGGACAAUGGGCGAAAGCCUGAUCCAGCCAUGCCGCGUGUGUGAAGAAGGUCUUCGGAUUGUAAAGCACUUUAAGUUGGGAGGAAGGGUUGUAGAUUAAUACUCUGCAAUUUUGACGUUACCGACAGAAUAAGCACCGGCUAACUCUGUGCCAGCAGCCGCGGUAAUACAGAGGGUGCAAGCGUUAAUCGGAAUUACUGGGCGUAAAGCGCGCGUAGGUGGUUUGUUAAGUUGGAUGUGAAAUCCCCGGGCUCAACCUGGGAACUGCAUCCAAAACUGGCAAGCUAGAGUAUGGUA
rnacentral:rRNA from 1 species